rnacentral:rRNA from 1 species
ACGAACGCUGGCGGCAGGCCUAACCCAUGCCAGUCGAGCGAGGACUUCGGUUCUAGCGGCGGACGGGUGAGUAACGCGUGGGAAUGUGCCCUUCUCUACGGAAUAGCCCUGGGAAACUGGGAGUAAUACCGUAUACGCCCUAUUGGGGAAAGAUUUAUCGGAGAAGGAUCAGCCCGCGUUGGAUUAGGUAGUUGGUGGGGUAAUGGCCUACCAAGCCGACGAUCCAUAGCUGGUUUGAGAGGAUGAUCAGCCACACUGGGACUGAGACACGGCCCAGACUCCUACGGGAGGCAGCAGUGGGGAAUCUUAGACAAUGGGGGCAACCCUGAUCUAGCCAUGCCGCGUGAGUGAUGAAGGCCUUAGGGUUGUAAAGCUCUUUCAGCUGGGAAGAUAAUGACGGUACCAGCAGAAGAAGCCCCGGCUAACUCCGUG